GACCUUCAUCGUGUGAUUUUCCUCGAUCCUUAGAGUCAGUGGAGCAUAAUCCCCGAGACUCGUGCUGAUUGGCCAGCAGAGGAGGGCGGGCGCCCAGGGGGGUAGGGCGGGCGCCCUGCCUCCGGGCCCGCUCGGCCUCCCGUUCGUUCCCGUGGCUUCUGGAGUCUUCUAGAUGAUAGAAAAUUGCGCGGCACGUUAAUAUCUCUAUGUAAUCCCGACGUGUGGGCCUUUCUUCCGUAUUUCCUGAUAACCCCCUGCAGAAAUAGACAAACACCAAAACUCGUGGAAUUCUGUCAGAUAAAACCUUAAGUCUGGGUGUUGGUUGCAUUUGGAUCCUUUUCCAUGAUUAAUUGAUGGUUAAAUGUGAGCAUUAAGGACCGUUAACAAGCUCCCCCAAGCUUAACCUUUGCUCGUCCCUGAGCAAAGCUAAAAUCAUCAAGAAAACAGGGGUUACUUUUAUGCCUUUUAUUAAAGGGGUUUUAAGUUAUCACUAAUUUCUUAAGUGAUUGAAAAACAGAAUGAUCAAGUCAAGCACUAUGUCUCAAGUUCUUCUGUCUUACCUUUGUUCUGGAGUUGUUUGUAAGUUUCCAAAAUAAAUCUGAGGCAUUUGCCUUCUUCUCGAAAGAUAUAUAAGUAGAGCUUUAAAAAGUUUAGCAUACUUACUUUGCAUUUUGCUAUGUCAUUGCUCGGAGCAAGGGAGAGGAAUGUCAUACUCCUAGAUCAAGACCUUUGACCUUUUUGAAGAGUUUGUCAUCUCUUACUGGCAUAUUGCUUAUUAGAGGGACCAUGGGCUAUCAUUUUUUUCCUUUUUUUCUCUUUUUUUUAGUCUCUUUUUUUCAAGUGGGCAGCAAGUACCCCUAAUUCUACUGUCGGACACAUGUCCAUUUUUUCCACUCAGGUGGGUAUCUUUGUACCCCUAAUUCUACUUCGGACACUUGUCCAUUUUUACCUCUCAUCUCACUCUUUUUUUUUCGAAUCAAAUUUUUGCAUAGUCCCAUGCCUCUAACGCAAUAAUACUUCGGAAGAGUGAAUCUUUUAUAUUUUUAAAACAAAAAGAUCUUGAUCUUGGGAGCAUGAUAAUUCUCUCAACCAAAACUAGAAGAAUUAACAAUGGCUUGAACAAAGAAAGUACCCACAGUUUUAAUAUUUAUUUCUUAUAAGACUCUAGGUAUUAUGAUCUCAUAUAUUUUUUUUAUGAAUUUUUAGAUUUUCAAAAGAUAAAAUCUCCAGAACUCUAGCAAAACCUGGAACAAGUUAAAUAGUAGCUGAGACCUUCUCAUAUCAUGUUUGUCAAUUACCUAGACUUGAAUCAAACUUUCUUUUUAUUUUAUUUAAAACUUAGUAUUACAUAAAACUAUUAUAUAUUACUCAAAACAAAAACUGUGUUUGGUUUCAUGGUUAUGCAUUUUUUUUAUUUCCGAAUACUAGUAAAUAAAACUAAGAAAGAAAAAUAAUACUUAUCUUGAUUUAUUUUUUUUUAUUUAGCAAACUAAGCAAAGAUAUAUAUAUAAGCAUAAAAUCUUUAUUUGGGUUUUUAUGAUUAUGCAUCUUUUUAUUAUUUGAGUAAAGUAUAAACGUGAGUAGAACACUUAGCUGGAUAAAUGGGGGUGCUCUCCCCCAAGCUGGAUUUUGACAUAAUUUCUUCUGAUGUGGCUAGUAGGUGGCGGAGGUGUAUUUGAAUGUCGGCAGCACUCUGACAGCGAUUAGGAUGUCCUUCGUCUGCUAGUCUUCUUUGAUCCUUGAAUUCUGUGGAGCUCAAAUAGACAACAAAGCUUUGUGGAACUAGUUAAGUGUUAGCAUAAAUAUCUAGCCUUUAUCAUGUUGAGCCUCCUCAAUAAAUGUUACUCAUUAGUAGGAUCAUAAUUUUAUUUUUAUAGGACAGGAAUAUAUUUAUUUUAUUUUUAUGCCACCACACUGAAUGUACUUAUGGGUUUUAUGCCAUGAGCAUACUCACAUGGGGCUUAACAUUUUUAUUUUCUUUUCAAGAUGAUAUAAACCUGACUAACUAAGUAAACUAUUUUAAAAUAAUUGAAAGAAAAAGAUAACUACCAAGUUUACCUCUUGGCAAGGCGUUCGGUGUUUUUAAAUCCUCCGAACGGGACUCUCUGUUUUCUCAUUCGUCCUGGGAUUCACUAGAUGGCGUAGUCGGUGGUUCCGGCAGCGCCUGGUCUUCAUGUAUAACUAUCUUCUCUCUCCACACCUGACUCGGUGCUACGGUCUCCUCAGGACAGUUCUAUUCAAGUUGUAUGUCUUCAGACCUUACAACUUCUCCUUCAUAGUCUACCCAUCCGUCCUUGAUGAUUUGCCUUCUCUGAUUGCGGUUGCGUCGUCUUCUUCUUGUCCUGACCUGCUUAGAAUCUUUAACUAUAUAGUUAGAGUCAGUAAAAUAGCGGCGUACCUUCUCAGAGGGGAAAUGCAUGUGGACUCCGCCGGUUCCAAUAUAGAUGAUUGCUUUAACGGUGCUAAGGAACAGUCUUCCAAGGAUGAUGGGUGGAUCAUACUCGUCUUCUCCCAUAUCAAUAACCUAAAAAUCUUUCGGAAUGUCUGAUCUGCCAUCUGGAGUUGAAUGUAUGUCGGUUUUAGGGGCAUUGUUCCGAAUAGGAGCUGAUAGGUGACUGGCGGCCAUUAUGUUGACCUUAGAUCCGGUGUCGUAGAGUGUCUUCUGAAAAGAAUAUCCGUUGAUUGUGCACACGAUGCUUGGAACACCAGGGUCGUCCUUCUUGAUCAAAAAAGGUGACUUGAGUUGACGAUCUUGGCAUCCUUGAGCUGCAGUGACCAUCUUAGCUGACUCGGUACACAUUUGCUUGUUCCUGUUCCUCCUGUUGGUCCUCUUCCUUGGUUCAUGUCGGGAGUGCUCUGAGAUUGUGUAGUCUUGUUCUUAAAGGAAAAUGUCUCAUUUCUCCCUUUGAUGUAGAAACUGAUCUUGGCAGCACUAGCGUAGAUGACAGCUCCCAAGGUGUUCAGGAAUGGCCUCCCUAAGAUGGGUGCCCUCUCAUCAGUACCAGUCUCUAUCACCACGAAGUUUGCUGGGGUGUACAAGGUACCAACUCGAACGCAGAGGUUCUUCAAUAUUCCCUUUGGGAAACUUAGUGUCUGAUCUGCAGGCUUGGGCAUAAUGUUGACGCUGGAGCCAAAGUCGCAGAGUGCUUCUAGGAAGUCCACCAUGCCGAUGGAGAUCGGGAUGAUGGGGCGUCCUGGAUUGUCUCUCUUGGCCGGCAGAAGGUCAGUAAUUACUUCCACAACGGGGUUACUCCAAUAGUUACGUCCUCAAGCAUCUCAGGGCAGUGAUUGUCUAAGUGUUCAGUAUCUCCAGUGUGUUUGUGCUCGUAGAUCUAGGUUCUUCACUUGGUGGAGUCUGGGAGUUGUAAAAGUCCUUCAUAUUUUGCUCGAAGUGUACCUGCUCAUAGAGACAAGGCAGAGAUCAAGUGCAUUAGCCCUGUUGGUGGAAAACACCAACAGAACCAAAAGUGUAUUUGCUCUCUCUAAUCUUAAGCAUAGUGAGCAAGACAAAAGUUGAUGGAUAAUAAGAUCAUGAGUGUAACAUUUAAAACAUUUGUCAGAUCAGAUCACUCAACCUAAUGGAAAGAUAAUCUAUCUAUACUUAUCUCUUUUUUUUUAUAUAUAUCUUCCAAAGAUUGUGUGUGCAACAUUUAGUGUGGGAUCACAAAGGUGAAAGGACUAAACAUAUUGAAUCGAUUAGGUUGGUUAAUCUAGAAUUGUAAAUCAUACAUGUUUGUCUCUUUUAUUCAUGUGAAUGCCAGAACCAAGGAAAAGCUUAUAGAAGUGAUAGUCAAGUACCUUAAGAUGUUACCUUACUUGAAGAGUGAUGGUACAGUAUUACCUUGUGGAAGCUUUCCUUUCUUAGUGGUUGUGCAUCGUGUUUGUGGCACCGUCCAUGGAUCAUCUCUUGUGAGCUAUGCCUUCCUUGUGUAGAUUGUUAAACUUCAUGUGUCUCUCUCUUUGUCAAAAAUGUGAGUGUAUCUCAGGACUUCCCAGGUCGAUAGUGAAAGUUUUCCUGCAGGGGUUAGUCCAACAAAAUAUCCCAUAUCUACUAUAGCAUACUAUCGGCUCAAAAAUCAACCUAGACACCAUGUCUAAUUUGAUUCAGGAGGGCUUUUUUAACCUAAGCACCAUGCUUAAUUUAAAACCCCUUGGAAGUAAGAUCAUCAUUCCUAAACUAAGCACCAAGCUUAAUUAAGAGAUAAAUGAAACUACUCCAAACCUAAACAUAUACUAAAGCAAAUAAAGGUAGCAUGAGAGCAUUUGUAGAGAUCUACUCAAGUGGAGAUGAAGUAGUGUGAUUAGUAUUUAACAAAUUGAGCAUGUCUCAAAGGUAGGGACAACCAACAUAGCAACAUAGCAAAUGAUGUUUUUAUGUAAAGUACUCCCCCAAGCUUGAAUUUUGCAAAAUUCAAGUUUGGAUGAAUUUAAUUCAAUGUUGUAUGAUGAUUGGUUGGACAUACCUUGUGCUUGUCAUUCAUCCGAUCUUCUUGCUCCAAUCCUGGAAAGGUUAGUGACAAGAAUACCCGAAGGAAUUUUUACAAUUAUCCUUAUAUGCUCAAAACACAAGGUAAUAUUGCAAAUAAUUAAAAGCUCAUGUUACUAUCUGAUCAGUGCUUGUUUUAGGACACUAAGCUUGUCCUUGGGAAACCAUCGAUUUAUGUCAGUGAAGUGGUUUCCCCUCCAACGCUAACCUAUAUCAAGAUCGACUCAACGAGAUCUGCAAUAUUUCUUAUAGACAUAUGCAUCGACAACCGCCCAUUUAAAGUUUUUAUAAAUAGAAAGGAAGUGGGGGUUGGAGAUCUCGAAUGUGGUGAUGUUGGAGAGACCAAUGGAUUGUGAAGAUGUUGCAUAUGAGCAUGGAGUAAAUGGAGUGGCUAUGAAAUAAAUUCCAUGCUCAUUAAUGCUUAGAGUGAAAUCCAUGUGGUAUGGUGAAAAUGAUAAGGUGAGUGUGGUAAACAAGGAAAAGAAAAAGGAUACACGGACGACUUGGUUCGAAACUAGCACAUCUACCGUUCCCCGGCAGCGGCGCCAGAAAGCUUGUUGGGUAUUUUAAACGCAAACAGAAAAAUCCGCAAGCGCACGGAUACCGAUGUAGCCUUCACCCGGGAGUAUUCCAGAGUAUCGAUUUUCCACAGGGAACGUGAGUGUACUAAUUAAGAUCCAAGAUCACCCAAGGAUAACUAUAUAAUUAUUUUUGGUGGGAAGAGAGGAAGUUUCCUGAGAGUUCUCUAGUUGAUCUAAGAAUCAAGAAUUACUUCAAGAUUAUCUAUAUCGGGACAUCAGAGCACUAACCACAGAAAGAGAUGAGAAGGGGGCUAGGAAGGUCUGACUACGGUCCUACAAACACCGAUCCGAACGUGGUGGAAUACGUCGACCGUUAGGGCUGUCACUACCCUAAGGCUACCACAACAAUCCGCAGGAUUGGGUGCAAUUCCAGGUAAUCGCAAGACUAAACACCAUGUCUAAUCUAUUAAUUACUACUCUAGCGUUAUAAAGACUAGAGCACUUGAUGCAAGCGGGAAUCCAAUAAAUAACUUGAAUGUAAAUAAAAGUAAUUAGAGAACUCAGGAGUUAUGAAUUGAAGAACCUGGAGAACGAUGAAGAACGAACCAGAUGCUGCAAAAGUAUAAUGUUGAGGAAGAUCCGACAGAUCCGGCUCCUCCUCCGCUCUCCUCUUCUCUCUCCCUAUUUUCUAGAUUACAACUAGAACUAACUUGAACUAGAACUAGGGGAACUAGAACUAGAACUAGAUGAACUAGAACUAGAUCUAGAUGAACUAGAGGUAGAACUAGAAGAACUAGAGGGAUCCUCUCUACUUGGAUGAAGAAUUGAAACCCUAGCUUUGAUUCUGUAGAAGAGGUAUGAUCUCCAGGGGCUGGUGGGGGUCUGCUUAUAUAGUCCAGGAAGAGUAGCCCCCAAGAAAUCUAGGAAGAGUAGCCCCCAAGAAAUCUAGGAAGAGUAGCUCCCAAGGAAUUUCACCAUCCGAUCAAACCGACCUUCAUCGUGUGAUUUUCCUCGAUCCUUAGAGUCGGUGGAGCAUAAUCCCCGAGACUCGUGCUGAUUGGCCAGCAGAGGAGGGCGGGCGCCCAGGGGGUAGGGCAGGCGCCCUGCCUCCGGGCCCGCUCGGCCUCCCGUUCGUUCCCGUGGCUUCUGGAGUCUUCUAGAUGAUAGAAAAUUGCGCGGCACGUUAAUAUCUCUAUGUAAUCCCGACGUGUGGGUCUUUCUUCCGUAUUUCCUGAUAACCCCCUGCAGAAAUAGACAAACACCAAAACUCGUGGAAUUCUGUCAGAUAAAACCUUAAGUCUGGGU
rnacentral:lncRNA from 1 species